UACGAGAGGCCCAAACGUUAUUCGGAAUUACUGGGCUUAAAGAGUUCGUAGGCGGCAUGAAAAGCAGGGUGUGAAAGCCCUCGGCUCAACCGAGGAAUUGCGCUCUGAACUGUCGUGCUUGAGGAACCUAGAGGUGAGCAGAACAGAUGGUGGAGCGGUGAAAUGCGUUGAUAUCAUCUGGAAUACCGGAGGCGAAGGCGGCUCACUGGGGGUUUCCUGACGCUGAGGAACGAAAGCCAGGGUAGCGAACGGG
rnacentral:rRNA from 1 species